GGUGCCUUGAGGACCAGGAUUGAAAAACACUGCCUUAAUGCAUCACUGGAAACUAGAGCCUCAGGUCUUUUCAAGGAGGUGUUCUGCAACGAUUUCAGAUCUCUACUGCCUGUCUGAUAUCUGGAAACAGAUCGCCUCUCCAACUUCCGACAACGUAUCUUUGCUUGAAUUCUAGGAUCAAGCUGCUCCCCUUGGAUCCCAGCCUUCCACUCACUCUCUGACAUCACCAAAGCUGCUGCUUCCUCACCAGCUUCUCUGC